GUCGAGCGAACCGAUGGAGUGCUUGCAUUCCUGAGGUUAGCGGCGGACGGGUGAGUAACACGUAGGCAACCUGCCUGUACGACCGGGAUAACUCCGGGAAACCGGAGCUAAUACCGGAUAGGAUGCCGAACCGCAUGGUUCGGCAUGGAAAGGCCUUUGAGCCGCGUACAGAUGGGCCUGCGGCGCAUUAGCUAGUUGGUGGGGUAACGGCCUACCAAGGCGACGAUGCGUAGCCGACCUGAGAGGGUGAACGGCCACACUGGGACUGAGACACGGCCCAGACUCCUACGGGAGGCAGCAGUAGGGAAUCUUCCGCAAUGGACGAAAGUCUGACGGAGCAACGCCGCGUGAGUGAGGAAGGUCUUCGGAUCGUAAAACUCUGUUGUCAGGGAAGAACCGCCGGGAUGACCUCCCGGUCUGACGGUACCUGACGAGAAAGCCCCGGCUAACUACGUGCCAGCAGCCGCGGUAAUACGUAGGGGGCAAGCGUUGUCCGGAAUUAUUGGGCGUAAAGCGCGCGCAGGCGGCUUCUUAAGUCAGGUGUGAAAGCCCACGGCUCAACCGUGGAGGGCCAUCUGA
rnacentral:rRNA from 1 species